AGUGAACGCUGGCGGUAGGCCUAACACAUGCAAGUCGAACGGCAGCACAGGAGAGCUUGCUCUCUGGGUGGCGAGUGGCGGACGGGUGAGGAAUACAUCGGAAUCUACUUUUUCGUGGGGGAUAACGUAGGGAAACUUACGCUAAUACCGCAUACGACCUACGGGUGAAAGCAGGGGAUCUUCGGACCUUGCGUGAUUGAAUGAGCCGAUGUGGGAUUAGCUAGUUGGCGGGGCAAAGGCCCACCAAGGCGACGAUCCGUAGCUGGUCUGAGAGGAUGAUCAUCCACACUGGAACUGGGACACGGUCCAGACUCCUACGGGAGGCAGCAGUGGGGAAUAUUGGACAAUGGGCGCAAGCCUGAUCCAGCCAUACCGCGUGGGUGAAGAAGGCCUUCGGGUUGUAAAGCCCCUUUGUUGGGAAAGAAAUCCAGCUGGUUAAUACCCGGUUGGGAUGACGGUACCCAAAGAAUAAGCACCGGCUAACUUCGUGCCAGCCGCCGCAGUAA
rnacentral:rRNA from 1 species